rnacentral:rRNA from 1 species
UCGAGGGGUAUAGUUCUUCGGAACUAGAGACCGGCGCACGGGUGCGUAACGCGUAUGCAACCUACCUUUCACAGGGGGAUAGCCCAGAGAAAUUUGGAUUAAUACCCCAUGGUAUAAUUGGAUGGCAUCAUUUGAUUAUUAAAGUCACAACGGUGAAAGAUGGGCAUGCGUCCCAUUAGCUAGAUGGUAAGGUAACGGCUUACCAUGGCAACGAUGGGUAGGGGUCCUGAGAGGGAGAUCCCCCACACUGGUACUGAGACACGGACCAGACUCCUACGGGAGGCAGCAGUGAGGAAUAUUGGACAAUGGGCGCAAGCCUGAUCCAGCCAUGCCGCGUGCAGGAUGACGGUCCUAUGGAUUGUAAACUGCUUUUAUACGGGAAGAAACCCUCUUUCGUGAAAGAGAUUGACGGUACCGUAAGAAUAAGGAUCGGCUAACUCCGUGCCAGCAGCCGCGGUAAUACGGAGGAUCCAAGCGUUAUCCGGAAUCAUUGGGUUUAAAGGGUCCGUAGGCGGCCUUAUAAGUCAGUGGUGAAAUCUCCCGGCUCAACCGGGAAAUUGCCAUUGAUACUGUAGGGCUUGAAUUAUUAGGAAGUAA